GAUGAAGAACGCAGCGAAAUGCGAUAAGUAAUGUGAAUUGCAGAAUUCAGUGAAUCAUCGAAUCUUUGAACGCACAUUGCGCCCGCCAGUAUUCUGGCGGGCAUGCCUGUCCGAGCGUCAUUUCAACCCUCGAACCCCUCCGGGGGGUCGGCGUUGGGGAUCGGCCCUUUCACCGGGUGCCGGCCCCUAAAUACAGUGGCGGUCUCGCCGCAGCCUCUCAUGCGCAGUAGUUUGCACACUCGCACCGGGAGCGCGGCGCGUCCACGUCCGUAAAACACCCCAACUUCUCAGGUUGACCUCAGAUCAGGUAGGAAUACCCGCUGAACUUAAGCAUAUCAAUAAGCGGAGGA
rnacentral:misc_RNA from 1 species